rnacentral:sRNA from 1 species
AGGCAAGAACUGACGCCCAGACUGAUGAGACAGACGCACACGCUCCCAGCCUUGAGGAGCCGUCUAACCUCCCAGGGACUUGAUUAAAAGGUUGCUGCUGUGCCCGUGGCUGGCCCACUGUGCCGCGUGUGGCACCACCUUCCCGGGAAGGACUCUUCCUCUUCAGAACAAUGGGCAGCUAGAGAGUCUUCCCCAGGAUCCUGACCUGCAAUCUGUUGGAGACUGGACCUGACUGUUGGCCUUCUGUUCAAGCUCCACUCCCACAGUUACCUGGCAACAGCCAGGUGUGCCUGACCUCGAGUUGCACAGGUGAGCAGCCUUGGAGAGAUGGGUUUAGGACCUUAGUUAGGAAUUUAGAGUGUCAGCAUAACAAGCUGGAACUUCUGUUACAGUAACUACGGUAUCCACCUUUUACUGACUGUUUAAGAGGAGCGUUAGCAAAAAGUCAGCUUUAGAUGACCCCAGGGCAUCAGCCACCUGGAUUCAGUUCCCAGGAGUACUUGGCACAUGGGCCCUAAUGAGCUAGGUUUGCUGAGAAAGACUCAACUGUCUCAAGCACAGCCUGCCAGUCUCCGGUCUCAAGACCACAGCUCAUCAUGGCCCAGAUCCACGAGGGACAGAAUCUUCCACACACUGAGCCCCACACUCUGGGCCACACGGGGCCAUCUGGACAGCCAGGCAUCGUGUGAGCAAGCCUCAGGGCCUGGAGCCAGGUACCCUACCCAGGCCCCUCCUUCCAGAACCAGCCCUGUCCACCCUCCUCAGCCACAACCCUCCCACUUCAGGACUAUGGAGCAGCUGGAGGAGGAAACUCCACCCUGAGUUUCCAUUGUUUUUACAAAAAAGCCAAAAGGGAAGGAUUGAAAUGGGAACAGUGGCCUCUGGAGACUUGUGACUUCUUCAUGAAACCCUUAUGAUUCGAUUGGCCAGGAGGACUCCUGGGGUGGGGUCCUGGCCAUCUGCCCUCAGCUCCUCCUCAGUCUCCUGCUCUGUAGGCUCAGGAGCAGGACUGGAUGGGACAUCUGAGUAUCAAAAGGAGAAAGAAACCCCAGACUUCAGAGGUAGGGCCAUGCCCAGAAACCCCGACCCAGGAUUCCUGGCCUGUAGCUCCCAUGACAUAUAGCUGAGGUUCUGAUUAGAAAAGCUGCCCUGUCACUUCCAUGGUCACAGGGGUCCUGUUGGACGCCCUCCUUGUGGAAAUCCAGACCGUCAAGCUGGCUAGCUGGGACCUCCAUGAAUUCCCUGAGCUGUGAGUGGUCAGUGUCUUUCUCGGCUUCCUAUGAGUCACCACUAGGCUGGGUAGGAAGCAGUUCUGGGAGGGGGGCGUUCCUCCACCCUCCCCAGAUGGCCCAGGGGAGCUGGCCUCUGAGCCCUGUGAACUUGGGGAAUGUACUGCUCCCUCCCUAGCCCAGCCCAGCCCAGCACCUCCCGGUUCUCUGCCUGCCUGGGCUCAGCCUGUGGAGCCUUUCAGCUUCUGUCUCUGCUACUGGGGAGGUCAAGUGACUGGGUAGUGUUGUCUCAAAGUGGGGUCUUCCUGCCAACACCUCAUCUGGAGAAUGUCAAAGAGGAAAGACAAAGCCAUUAGGCGUCCUCUGGGAGGUACGGGUGGGCAGUCCCAAUGGCAGCCCCUGGACUCUUGCUCAUUGUAGCAUCUAUUAAACUUCAAACUGGGGGUUCUACCCCACCUUGGAUCAUUCAGUUCCCAGAUCAAAGACACAUUUUAUAUUUAUCACAGGCCUUUAAUGCGCUAGUGCUGGGCAGAUAUCUAUCCUGGAAGCUAUUAUUCUUACCUCCCUAUCAAUAAACUGGGUUAUAACCACC